CCCUCGCGCCAUCAGAGAGUUUGAUCCUGGCUCAGAACGAACGCUGGCGGCAGGCCUAACACAUGCAAGUCGAGCGCACCUUCGGGUGAGCGGCGGACGGGUUAGUAACGCGUGGGAACGUACCCUUUUCUAAGGAAUAGCCACUGGAAACGGUGAGUAAUACCUUAUACGCCCUUCGGGGGAAAGAUUUAUCGGAGAAGGAUCGGCCCGCGUUAGAUUAGAUAGUUCGGUGGGGUAACGGCCUACCAAGUCUACGAUCUAUAGCUGGUUUUAGAGGAUGAUCAGCAACACUGGGACUGAGACACGGCCCAGACUCCUACGGGAGGCAGCAGUGGGGAAUCUUGGACAAUGGGCGCAAGCCUGAUCCAGCCAUGCCGCGUGAGUGAUGAAGGCCUUAGGGUCGUAAAGCUCUUUCGCUGGGGAUGAUAAUGACAGUACCCAGUAAAGAAACCCCGGCUAACUCCGUG
rnacentral:rRNA from 1 species